AAAAUGUCUAUGAAUAUAGGAUUUACGCAUGUUCAUUUUUAGAAAUGGAUGUAUAAGUACAUCUAGAGCCAAUUUGGUGACCAGAAUUUAUAGGAGUGAAAGAGAUUGAGGAUAAAAUAGUUCAUUUCCCUCCAAUCCUAGUGACCAUAUCAACCCCUAUUUCCACGAUUUCCUCAGCCGACCGCCUGCGCCGGCCACUCCUCGGCGCCGCCCUGCUCCGGCUCGGCCCGACCCCGGUUGGCUCGUCCGCGCUCGUCCAACGCCGUCUUCUCGACGGCCCAGCCGGCUGAGGACAGCUGUGCUCGUCGUGUCGAGUCGAUGACGCGGAUCCUCUGCUGCGGCCUGCUGGCACGCUCGGAUCCAGGUUUCGACGCGCGCGAGAUGUUUGUCGCGCGCCAAAUAUCCAUCCCAUCCCUCUACCAGGUCAGCGGCAACGGAGGCGUCGAUGGCGGCCUGCAUCCUUGAUCGCGGAAGCUGCUCGGCAGCGUGAGCAGCAAUGGCGGCCCGCCCCGUUGUUUGAGUCACGGCAACAACGGCCGCCUCCGUCGCGAAAACCGCAGCAACAGAGCCGCCUCUAACUCUCUGGCUCAACCGCCGCCGCCGCCUAGGCCGGCACAACGCGACUAGCGUCAUCUCAACGCUCUUGAGUGGCAACCGAAGGCUUGACUCCUACAAAUGUUCACGGUAGGCCAAAAAAAACUUUUUUUUUUGUUUGGCGGCGUGGUUGUCGACGAAAGGUGGCCAUCGGCUUGCUGAGGACAACACCGUGCAGCAGGCGGCAGGUGCAGCUACCACCUCAUCAGAACGUAGAAGCUGUUCAUUGUUUGGAUGCAAAAAAUAAUUUGGUUUCCUUCCUGC